rnacentral:ncRNA from 1 species
UGGGACCUUCGGGGCCCUUCACACAAGAGAGAGCCGGGUCCAUACCCGGCGCAAACCAACGGAAGACAGAAA